rnacentral:rRNA from 1 species
UGGGGAAUUUUGGACAAUGGGCGAAAGCCUGAUCCAGCAAUGCCGCGUGUGUGAAGAAGGCCUUCGGGUUGUAAAGCACUUUUGUCCGGAAAGAAAUCCUUGGCUCUAAUACAGUCGGGGGAUGACGGUACCGGAAGAAUAAGCACCGGCUAACUACGUGCCAGCAGCCGCGGUAAUACGUAGGGUGCAAGCGUUAAUCGGAAUUACUGGGCGUAAAGCGUGCGCAGGCGGUUUGCUAAGACCGAUGUGAAAUCCCCGGGCUCAACCUGGGAACUGCAUUGGGUGACUGGCAGGCUAGAGUAUGGCAGAGGGGGGUAGAAUUCCACGUGUAGCAGUGAAAUGCGUAGAGAUGUGGAGGAAUACCGAUGGCGAAGGCAGCCCCCUGGGCCAAUACUGACGCUCAUGCACGAAAGCGUGGGGAGCAAACAGGAUUAGAUACCCUGGUAGUCCACGCCCUAAACGAUGUCAACUAGUUGUUGGGGAUUCAUUUCCUUAGUAACGUAGCUAACGCGUGAAGUUGACCGCCUGGGGAGUACGGUCGCAAGAUUAAAACUUAAAGGAAUUGACGGGGUCAUAGCUGUUUCC